CUCACCGGUGCGACGGUGCGCACCGUCGACAGGUCGCGUCCUGUUGCGACGGCGAUCGCUGUCGCCGAUGGUCGCAUCAUCGCGGUCGGC
rnacentral:tRNA from 1 species